GACGAACGCUGGCGGUAUGUUUAACACAUGCAAGUCGUACGAGAUUAAUUUUUGGACUCUCGGGUCCAAGUUUUAAUUCUAGUGGCGGACGGGUGCGUAACGCGUAAGAACUUACCUUUUGGUGUGGGAUAACAGCGGGAAACUGCUGCUAAUACCGCAUAGUGCUGAGAAGCUAAAAGUGAAAACUGCCAAGAGAGAGGCUUGCGUCUGAUUAGCUAGUUGGUGGAGGUAAAUGCUCCCCAAGGCGACGAUCAGUAGCUGGUCUGAGAGGAUGAUCAGCCACACUGGGACUGAGACACGGCCCAGACUCCUACGGGAGCCAG
rnacentral:rRNA from 1 species